AUUGAACGCUGGCGGCAUGCCUUACACAUGCAAGUCGAACGGCAGCGGGGGAGAAGCUUGCUUUUCCUGCCGGCGAGUGGCGAACGGGUGAGUAAUACAUCGGAACGUGCCCUGUAGUGGGGGAUAACUAGUCGAAAGAUUAGCUAAUACCGCAUACGACCUGAGGGUGAAAGUGGGGGACCGCAAGGCCUCAUGCUAUAGGAGCGGCCGAUGUCUGAUUAGCUAGUUGGUGGGGUAAAGGCCUACCAAGGCGACGAUCAGUAGCUGGUCUGAGAGGACGAUCAGCCACACUGGGACUGAGACACGGCCCAGACUCGUACGGGAGGCAGCAGUGGGGAAUUUUGGAGAAUGGGCGAAAGCCUGAUCCAGCAAUGCCGCGUGUGUGAAGAAGGCCUUCGGGUUGUAAGGCACUUUUGUCCGGAAAGAAAUGGCUCUGGUUAAUACCUGGGGUCGAUGACGGUACCGGAAGAAUAAGGACCGGCUAACUACGUGCCAGCCGCCGCAGUAA
rnacentral:rRNA from 1 species